UUGAAGGUGGCAGGGCUGGCUGAGCUAGAGAGAAAAGUGCACCCUGCCUCCUGUCAUCGUGGCUCGUUCUGGACUUCAGGUGAAUGAAAUCAUUAACUUCUGCUAUGUGUGCCAUUGUCACAGUAGCUGGUAUCUAAUGAGCACACAAUCAUUAGAGAAACUCUGUUCUUUCUUCACAGACCCUCAUUCAGAAUGUUCAAGAAGACCCCCGAGUCUCACAUUGCCACUGGCUUCUAUGGUGAACCACUGGAUGGCACCUGAGGAUGUCAGAGUGGCACAUGACUGCUCUCCUAGCAUCUUCUGGGGCCAUGCAGUCUCAACUUCCUCACGGUCAACCUUCCUCACUUCUCAGCAGGCUCCGAGUCAAGGUUGCAGCCCGUUAGAGCCCUGGAUCUCUGGAGUUGGAACAAAGCAGCCUCCGUUAGCCCUGGUGUUGGUGGCUUCGAAGCAUCUUACACGAUGGCUCUUUUCCCAGGAGGCUUUGGUGCAGCAGCCUUAUUUUCAACAUCAGGUUCUGGUUCCAGUUUUCUUGGGAGUCUAGACUUGAGCCUGGAGGAAUUAAGUUACUAACUGACCCCUGAACUCAGUGGAAACAUCAGGGUCAUUUUCUCCUUAACAUCCAGAUCUGUGUACGGCCAUCUUCCAUAACGGACCCUUGACCUACGCAGAGGUCCACACCUCAGGGAAGCUGUGAAGCAGCUGCAAUUUUUUCAUAAGUUGAUUCAAUGGCCUUGUCAUCCUUCCUCAACAAAGCCCCAGCAGAUGCUGAAAC